UACGUAGGGGGCAAGCGUUGUUCGGAAUUACUGGGCGUAAAGUGUGCGCAGGCGGCAGAGCAAGUCGAGUGUGAAAGCCCCGGGCUUAACUUGGGAAUUGCGCUCGAAACUACUUUGCUGGAGUGUGGCAGAGGAAGGUGGAAUUCCACGUGUAGCGGUGAAAUGCGUAGAGAUGUGGAGGAACACCAAUGGCGAAGGCAGCCUUCUGGGCCAACACUGACGCUCAUGCACGAAAGCGUGGGGAGCAAACAGG
rnacentral:rRNA from 1 species